rnacentral:tRNA from 1 species
ACGGUAGUGGUCUAGUGGUAUGAUUCGAGCUUCCCAAGCUUGCGAUGCGGGUUCGAUUCCCGCCUACCGUA